rnacentral:rRNA from 1 species
GACGAACGCUGGCGGCGUGCUUAACACAUGCAAGUCGAACGAUGAAGUUCCUUCGGGAAUGGAUUAGUGGCGAACGGGUGAGGAAUACGUGAGAAACCUGCCUUUCAUUUUGGGAUAACUCCGGGAAACCGGGGCUAAAACCGAAUACUCCGUCUCGGCGGCAUCGCUGAGCCGGGAAAAAAUUUUGAUGAAAGAUGGUCUCGCGGCCUAUCAGCUAGUUGGUGAGGUAAUGGCUCACCAAGGAAACGACGGGUAGCCGGCCUGAGAGGGCGACCGGACACACUGGGACUGAGACACGGCCCAGACUCCUACGGGAGGCAGCAGUGGGGAAUAUUGGGCAAUGGGCGCAAGCCUGACCCAGCGACGCCGCGUGAGGGAUGAAGGCCUUCGGGUUGUAAACCUCUUUCAGUAGGGAAGAAGCGAAAGUGACGGUACCUAAAGAAGAAGCACCGGCUAACUAUGUGCCAGCCGCCGCGGUAA